rnacentral:lncRNA from 1 species
CUAAAAUGAUUAUCUGUAAAGCUACAGAAGUUUAAUACUGAGGAUGUAUUACAAUUAUUUUUGAUAUCAGGAUAAAAAUACCUGUUCAUGAAUGAUGGUAUUGAUUUUCUCUUCUGACUUGUCUCCAGUUACAGGUGUAAUAGCCAAUAUUACUUAUAUUAACAACUAGCACCCAUUUUAAAAUUUCUGUAGUGCUGAUAAUUUAUAUGCAAGGAAAUUAAGACAAUGAGUUAUCAAUACUUGGGUUGAAUCAGUGUGAGAAACUAAAAUGCAAAUAGGUAAAAAAAAUAGGUUACUUCACUAAGUUUUCAUAAUGCAUUUGAAAACGUGGUUUCAUAAUGCAAUGACCUGGGGCUACCAACUGUUUGUAAUAGCACAAAUCUAAACAGUAUUAUGGGCAUAUAUUUCAAUAGCUCACAUCCUUCUUGAAAGAAAAUCAUUUUUCAUGGCCAUUAUUCACAUAAAAGUUCAAAUCUCUCCAAUCAGCUUUUAUAUAACAGUUUUAUGGAUUUAUCUUAGGAACAAAAUUAACCAAAAGACCCUGUAGUAGUUUUCCUUCCAGCAUAUCUUCUCUACCUAUUUUAUUAUUCAUUGUAAAACUACUGGGUGAAUAGUAUAUGUUUUUUCAGAUGUUUCUAAUCAGUAGAUAAAUAGGUACACAUAGUGCACAAAAAUCUAAGACAGAGAAGGUGAAUAAAAAAGUGUUAUUUAUGGGCAACCCCCUUUGGGUCCCCUCCCACUGUAUGGGAGCUGUGUUUUCACUCUAGUAAAUCUUGCAACUGCACACUCUCCUGCUCCGUGUUUGUUAUGGCUCGAGCUGAGCUUUCGCUGGCCGUCCACCACUGCUGUUUGCCACUGUUGCAGACCCGCCACUGACUUCCACCCCUCCGGAUCCAGCAGGGUGUCCACUGUGCUCCUGAUCCAGCAAGGCGCCCAUUGCUGCUCCUGAUCGGGCUAAAGGCUCGCCAUUGUUCCUGUACAGCUAAGUGCCUGGGUUCGUCCUAAUCGAGCUGAACACUAGUUGCUGGGUUCCACGGUUCUCUUCUGUGACCCACAGCUUCUAAUAGAGCUAUAACACUCACCUCAUGGCCUAAGGUUCCAUUCCUUGGAAUCCAUGAGGCCAAGAACCCCAGGUCAGAGAACAAAAGGGAUGCCACCAUCUUGGGAGCAGCCCGCCACCGUCUUGGGAACUCUAACAACAAAGACCCACUGGUAACAUUUGGUGGCCUCAUACAGGGAUUCUCUAAAGCAAAUGAAGACCAUCCCUGGGCAAAAUUGCGAAGAAGUGGAAGGAAAGAAGAGAAAGAAGAAGAAAGGAAUAUAGGCCCUCAUAGAGGUGGACCCCUUGAUCUUGAACUCCCCAAUCUCCAGAACU